UUACGGCCAUAUCACGUUGAAAUAUCGGUUUUAGUCCGAUCACCGAAGUUAAGCAACGUUGAGCCUCGUUAAUAACUAGAUGGGUGACCGCUUGGGAAUAUAGGUGCUGUAAG